UUUAGUAACCGUAACUUUCUCUCUGUCGAUGAAAUGCAAUGCAGCCGCUUUUCACCCCUGUUCAACAAGCGACAACUGCUGCAAUCUUCCGCCUCUCCUCUUGCCUUCGUUACCUUUCAUCCACAGUGGGAACUUCGUCGGCGAUAGCUUCAGUUUUCCAUCUAAUUUUACCAGUGCCUUGCAGCGCUGUUCGACCACUGAUGUUCAUCUGGAAAGCCACCAGUCCCUCUCCCAGUCAAUCGAUAGAGAAACUACGUACCAUCACCAUCUCCAAUUUCUUUGAUAUAUUCUAUUUCAAUUUCUUUCAAUUCUUAAUUAAUUUCUUAGUUUUGCUAAAUACAAGGUUUUGAUAUGUAUUUAUAGUGAAGUUUGGGGAAGUUAUACGAAAGUUAUUGAAUUUUGGUGGAGUUUGAAGGUUUCUCAAGAAAAUUUGAGGUAAGCUGCAGUUGCACAAAUUAAUUUUUUGAUUCGGCGAUUGAGAGGCCAGGGUUGGCGGCGGCAGCGAGUUCGUUCAAAGUUAUUGUUUUGCCUCUGGAGACAUACCAUGUUAAAAUUAUUGGAAAUCAAAUCAUAUAGUGUCUUUUUUGUGUCUAUAAGAGGGAAAUUAUUUUUAGGGAUUUACGAGAUUAUUAAUUAAUGUUCAUGUGCACUACAGAAGUCGAAGGCAUGGUGGAUUGAAGAGUUGCGAAUGGUUGAGGUGCUGGAGAAGACAUAUUGCUCAAUAGAAUAAACUUUGUAUGUGAUGCAACCUCUUCAUCAUUAAUUCCAGCAUUGUUAUCUUUAGGUGCAUUAUGUACUCUGUUAAUCUUUGGGUGAUUUAUUUAUUUAUUGUCGAUGCUCUGUUUCAGUUAUAAAUUAGAUAAUUAUGUUGGAUUAAGUACUUGGUAAUUUGUACACAUAAAUAACUCUUGAUUUAUGUUCUUCUGAAUUGGAGAGGAAAACUAAUUAUAUAAUGUGAUACUCAUUUUAAGACCCAGAUUUACCGAAAAGUUGACUCUCUCAACCUCAACUUUUAGAGGAAGUUUUAUUACCCCUCAAUAUAUGGUUGCAAAAUUCUUUUGCAGCAAACAAAAUUAUGUUUUCUGUGCAACAAAACUGUUGAUGUUGUUUGAGCCGUUGGUAGCAAUAUAUAGUGCUUAUUUAGUGUGUCUGUGAGUGAUACUCGCCUGAGAUUGGUGUCUAGGACAUCUUGAAUGUCGAUGAUACUCCCCUUCCCCUUGAGUGAUAUCACAAAGCUUAGCAGAAGAGCAAGAUAAACAUGAAUGCUCUUGAAAGUCUUUUCAGGUUUAUGACACCUGAAGUUUCUCGACUAAAUUGUUGGCUGACAUGCUGUGGCUUGGUCCAUGAAGAAAAUCCUAUAGUAUUAGAGAAAAAAUGAAAAUGUAGCAUGCAUCUUGGUGGAACCAGACUCAUAUCGAUAA
rnacentral:lncRNA from 1 species